UAGGAGAAGAUAAAACAGAUAUAGAGAGAGAGUGUUUCUUAUUAAAGGGAAGAGAAGAGUUUUUUUAGUGUGUUUACAAACGAACGCAAACGUUCGUAUAUAUAGAAGGAAAUUUACUGUGCAAAUAGUGCAGCGGGCCCCACAUCUUUUAUAAUUUCAAACAUUACGGCUCCUUCUGUUUUUGUUGACUUUCGUAACA
rnacentral:lncRNA from 1 species